UACGAAGGGGGCUAGCGUUGCUCGGAAUCACUGGGCGUAAAGCGCACGCAGGCGGUCUUGUCAGUCUGUAGGGACAGGGCACGGCUCAACCGUGUCAGGCUUAUGGAAACUGCAAGACUUGAGGGCUUCAGAGGGAUGGGGAAUUCCGGGUGGAGUGGUGAAAUGCGUAGAGAUCCGGAAGAACACCAAAGGCGAAGGCACCAUCCUGGGGAGUCACUGACGCUCGGGUGCGAAAGCUAGGGGAGCGAACGGG
rnacentral:rRNA from 1 species